rnacentral:tRNA from 1 species
GGAUUGUAGCUCAGAGGCAGAGUGCUCGCCUAAGAUGCCUGAGGCACUGGGUUCGAUCCUCAGUACCA